rnacentral:rRNA from 1 species
CCUACGGGAGGCAGCAGUAGGGAAUAUUGCACAAUGGGGGAAACCCUGAUGCAGCGACGCCGCGUGAGGGAAGAAGGAUUUCGGUACGUAAAGCUCUAUCAGCAGAGAAGAAAAUGACGGUACCUAACUAAUAAGCCCCGGCUAACUACGUGCCAGCAGCCGCGGUAAUACGGAGGGGGCAAGCGUUAUCCGGAAUUACUGGGCGUAAAGAGCGCGUAGACGGGAUAGCAAGUCAGGAGUGAAAUCCUAUGGCUUAACCAUGGAACUGCUUUUGAAACUGUUAUUCUAGAGUGUAGGAGAGGUAAGCGGAAUUCUUGGUGUAGCGGUGAAAUGCGUAGAUAUUAGGAGGAACACCAGAGGCGAAGGCGACUUACUGGACUGUAACUGACGUUGAGGCUUGAAAGCGUGGGGAGCAAACAGGAUUAGAUACCCCAGUAGUC